AGGACAAUGUGGCGAAAAUGGAAGUUCAGCUGGCGAGGGAUGUUGUGCCAUUCAAUUUCUUGACGCCAAUGAGAAUCAUUCGAGAUGCUAUUUCGGCUCUCGGCAGCCCUGCGCCCAUAUUGGUCUCUGAAGGGGCCAAUACAAUGGAUGUGGGUCGCUCAGUUUUGGUUCAGACUGAGCCAAGAUCCAGGUUGGAUGCUGG
rnacentral:misc_RNA from 1 species